GAAGAGUUUGAUCAUGGCUCAGAUUGAACGCUGGCGGCAGGCCUAACACAUGCAAGUCGAACGGUAACAGGAAGCAGCUUGCUGCUUUGCUGACGAGUGGCGGACGGGUGAGUAAUGUCUGGGAAACUGCCUGAUGGAGGGGGAUAACUACUGGAAACGGUGGCUAAUACCGCAUAACGUCGCAAGACCAAAGAGGGGGACCUUCGGGCCUCUUGCCAUCAGAUGUGCCCAGAUGGGAUUAGCUUGUUGGUGAGGUAACGGCUCACCAAGGCGACGAUCCCUAGCUGGUCUGAGAGGAUGACCAGCCACACUGGAACUGAGACACGGUCCAGACUCCUACGGGAGGCAGCAGUGGGGAAUAUUGCACAAUGGGCGCAAGCCUGAUGCAGCCAUGCCGCGUGUAUGAAGAAGGCCUUCGGGUUGUAAAGUACUUUCAGCGGGGAGGAAGGUGUUGUGGUUAAUAACCGCAGCAAUUGACGUUACCCGCAGAAGAAGCACCGGCUAACUCCGUGCCAGCAGCCGCGGUAAUACGGAGGGUGCAAGCGUUAAUCGGAAUUACUGGGCGUAAAGCGCACGCAGGCGGUCUGUCAAGUCGGAUGUGAAAUCCCCGGGCUCAACCUGGGAACUGCAUUCGAAACUGGCAGGCUUGAGUCUUGUAGAGGGGGGUAGAAUUCCAGGUGUAGCGGUGAAAUGCGUAGAGAUCUGGAGGAAUACCGGUGGCGAAGGCGGCCCCCUGGACAAAGACUGACGCUCAGGUGCGAAAGCGUGGGGAGCAAACAGGAUUAGAUACCCUGGUAGUCCACGCCGUAAACGAUGUCUACUUGGAGGUUGUGCCCUUGAGGCGUGGCUUCCGGAGCUAACGCGUUAAGUAGACCGCCUGGGGAGUACGGCCGCAAGGUUAAAACUCAAAUGAAUUGACGGGGGCCCGCACAAGCGGUGGAGCAUGUGGUUUAAUUCGAUGCAACGCGAAGAACCUUACCUGGUCUUGACAUCCACAGAACUUUCCAGAGAUGGAUUGGUGCCUUCGGGAACUGUGAGACAGGUGCUGCAUGGCUGUCGUCAGCUCGUGUUGUGAAAUGUU
rnacentral:rRNA from 1 species